GACGAACGCUGGCGGCGUGCUUAACACAUGCAAGUCGAACGGAAAGGCCCUGCUUUUGUGGGGUGCUCGAGUGGCGAACGGGUGAGUAACACGUGAGUAAACUGCCCUUGACUUUGGGAUAACUUAAGGAAACUGGGGCUAAUACCGGAUAGGAGCUCCUGCUGCAUGGUGGGGGUUGGAAAGUUUCGGCGGUUGGGGAUGGACUCGCGGCUUAUCAGCUUGUUGGUGGGGUAGUGGCUUACCAAGGCUUUGACGGGUAGCCGGCCUUAGAGGGUGACCGGCCACAUUGGGACUGAGAUACGGCCCAGACUCCUACGGGAGGAAGCAGGGGGGAAUAUGGCACAAUGGGCGGAAGCCUGAUGCAGCAACGCCGCGUGCGGGAUGACGGCCUUCGGGUUGUAAACCGCUUUCGCCUGUGACGAAGCGUGAGUGACGGUAAUGGGUAAAGAAGCACCGGCUAACUACGUG
rnacentral:rRNA from 1 species